ACGCUGGCGGCAGGCUUAACACAUGCAAGUCGAACGGUAACAGGGAUUAGCUUGCUAAUCUGCUGACGAGUGGCGGACGGGUGAGUAAUGCUUGGGAAUCUGGCUUAUGGAGGGGGAUAACUACGGGAAACUGUAGCUAAUACCGCGUAAAAUCUUCGGAUUAAAGGGUGGGACUUUCGAGCCACCUGCCAUAAGAUGAGCCCAAGUGGGAUUAGGUAGUUGGUUAGGUAAAGGCUGACCAAGUCGACGAUCUCUAGCUGGUCUGAGAGGAUGACCAGCCACACUGGAACUGAGACACGGUCCAGACUCCUACGGGAGGCAGCAGUGGGGAAUAUUGCACAAUGGGGGGAACCCUGAUGCAGCCAUGCCGCGUGAAUGAAGAAGGCCUUCGGGUUGUAAAGUUCUUUCGGUGACGAGGAAGGUUGGUAGGUUAAUAGCCUAUCAAAUUGACGUUAAUCACAGAAGAAGCACCGGCUAACUCCGUGCCAGCAGCCGCGGUAAUACGGGGGGUGCGAGCGUUAAUCGGAAUAACUGGGCGUAAGGGGCACGCAGGCGGUGACUUAAGUGAGAUGUGAAAGCCCCGAGCUUAACUUGGGAAUUGCAUUUCAUACUGGGUCGCUAGAGUACUUUAGGGAGGGGUAGAAUUCCACGUGUAGCGGUGAAAUGCGUAGAGAUGUGGAGGAAUACCGAAGGCGAAGGCAGCCCCUUGGGAAUGUACUGACGCUCAUGUGCGAAAGCGUGGGGAGCAAACAGGAUUAGAUACCCUGGUAGUCCACGCUGUAAACGAUGUCGAUUUGGGGAUUGGGCUUUGAGCUUGGUGCCCGUAGCUAACGUGAUAAAUCGACCGCCUGGGGAGUACGGCCGCAAGGUUAAAACUCAAAUGAAUUGACGGGGGCCCGCACAAGCGG
rnacentral:rRNA from 1 species